rnacentral:lncRNA from 1 species
AACUUAAUAAAUUUCAGUAUUUGAACAUCAUCUAUUUACCAUUCAGACAUCAUAAUUUACAGCAUAUAGCACUCCAAAUUUCUAGAUUCCAAACAUAACAAAUUUCAGCAUUUAUUCAAUAGCAUAUGCAAACUUUAAAAAUUUCAAUUGACCAUUUUCACACAUCAUAAAGUUCAUUCAUUUGCACCAAGUUAAUUACCGAUAAAUUAACUCAAUACUGCAAUAUUUAAU